rnacentral:rRNA from 1 species
CCUACGGGCGGCAGCAGUGGGGAAUAUUGCACAAUGGGGGAAACCCUGAUGCAGCGACGCCGCGUGAGUGAAGAAGUAUUUCGGUACGUACAGCUCUAUCAGCAGGGAAGAAAAUGACGGUACCUGACUAAGAAGCACCGGCUAACUACGUGCCAGCAGCCGCGGUAAUACGUAGGGGGCAAGCGUUAUCCGGAUUUACUGGGUGUAAAGGGAGCGUAGACGGCAGCGCAAGUCUGGAGUGAAAUCCCAUGGCUUAACCAUGGAACUGCUUUGGAAACUGUGCAGCUAGAGUGCAGGAGAGGUAAGCGGAAUUCCUAGUGUAGCGGUGAAAUGCGUAGAUAUUAGGAGGAACACCAGUGGCGAAGGCGGCUUACUGGACUGUAACUGACGUUGAGGCUCGAAAGCGUGGGGAGCAAACAGGAUUAGAUACCCUAGUAGUC